GAGGAUGUGGCUCAGUUGUAGAGUACUUGCCUGGCAUGCACAAGGCUCUGGGUUCCAUUUCCAGCACCACCA
rnacentral:tRNA from 1 species